rnacentral:rRNA from 1 species
CUGGCGACCGGCGCACGGGUGCGGAACGCGUAUGGAACCUGCCCCUGUCAGGGGAAUAGCCCAGGGAAACUUGGAUUAAUGCCCCAUGGUACCGCGAUAUCGCAUGAUAUUGCGGUUAAAGAUUUAUCGGACAGGGAUGGCCAUGCGUACCAUUAGUUAGUUGGUGGGGUAACGGCCCACCAAGGCAGCGAUGGUUAGGGGCCCUGAGAGGGGGAUCCCCCACACUGGUACUGAGACACGGACCAGACUCCUACGGGAGGCAGCAGUGAGGAAUAUUGGACAAUGGGCGGGAGCCUGAUCCAGCCAUGCCGCGUGCAGGAUGACGGCCCUAUGGGUUGUAAACUGCUUUUAUACGGGAAGAAAUGCGCCCACGUGUGGGCGUCUGACGGUACCGUAAGAAUAAGGACCGGCUAACUCCGUGCCAGCAGCCGCGGUAAUACGGAGGGUCCGAGCGUUAUCCGGAAUCAUUGGGUUUAAAGGGUCCGUAGGCGGGCCUGUAAGUCAGGGGUGAAAGUUUGUGGCUCAACCAUAAAAUUGCCUUUGAUACUGCAGGUCUUGAGUCAUGGUGGGGUCGCCGGAACAUGUGGUGUAGCGGUGAAAUGCAUAGAUAUCACAUAGAACACCGAUCGCGAAGGCAGGUGGCCAACCAUGUACUGACGCUGAUGGACGAAAGCGUGGGU